AGCGAACGCUGGCGGCAGGCUUAACACAUGCAAGUCGAGCGGGCGUAGCAAUACGUCAGCGGCAGACGGGUGAGUAACGCGUGGGAACGUACCUUUUGGUUCGGAACAACACAGGGAAACUUGUGCUAAUACCGGAUAAGCCCUUACGGGGAAAGAUUUAUCGCCGAAAGAUCGGCCCGCGUCUGAUUAGCUAGUUGGUGUGGUAACGGCGCACCAAGGCGACGAUCAGUAGCUGGCUGAGAGGAUGAUCAGCCACAUUGGGACUGAGACACGGCCAAACUCCUACGGGAGGCAGCAGUGGGGAAUAUUGGACAAUGGGCGCAAGCCUGAUCCAGCCAUGCCGCGUGAGUGAUGAAGGCCCUAGGGUUGUAAAGCUCUUUUGUGCGGGAAGAUAAUGACGGUACGCAAGAAUAAGCCCCGGCUAACUUCGUGCCAGCCGCCGCAGU
rnacentral:rRNA from 1 species